UACGUAGGGUGCGAGCGUUGUCCGGAAUUAUUGGGCGUAAAGAGCUCGUAGGCGGUCUGUCGCGUCGAUCGUGAAAACUUGGGGCUUAACCCUGAGCUUGCGGUCGAUACGGGCAUGACUGGAGUUCGGCAGGGGAGACUGGAAUUCCUGGUGUAGCGGUGAAAUGCGCAGAUAUCAGGAAGAACACCCGUGGCGAAGGCGGCUCUCUGGUACGUGACUGACGCUGAGACGCGAAAGCGUGGGGAGCGAACAGG
rnacentral:rRNA from 1 species